UGUGUGGUCACUGGUGGGGGGCGGACUUAUUCCUGGUCACAGAUGGAAAAGGGAGAGGGGUGGUAGGGAGGGGGAGCAGCCUUUUUCCUUCUCCCUGGGUUUAGUUAGAGGUGGCCAGGGACAUGGGGGGGUCAAGGUGGUUGGAGUUUUAGGGGUUACCCCCUCCAACCAGUUCCCUGCCCUAGGCAACAGCCCACAAGGCCUUCUAGGAUUUAUGCCUUUGGGAGUACGAGGAAGCACACCAAGGCCAUGAGGCCAGUUCUUGUCCCUUUCCCCAGGGUCCUACAAGAACCGGAUAAUCUGCGUCCCCCACACCCUCUGCACACAGCUUGGCCGCUCCUCCCUCCUCGCUGUGCCUGCUGUGUCCAGGCCGGCGCCCCCCCUCCAGCCUGAACAUACUGUCCCCAGAUGGCCUGCUUCCCUGCCUCCCUCCAGUCUUCCGGAUGCCCCUUUCCCGGCAACCAUGUCAACUCCAACUCCCCCUCCCUGACUUACUUUCUCCAUAGCACUGACUGCUUUCUGAUGUCACAGACGGACGACAUGUCCCUGUGUCCCUUUUACUUAUAGUCUGACUCUUCACAGGACUGCACACCCCAGGAGGGAGGCACUUUCCUCUGUUUUUCCCCACCGCCAUAUCUCCUGUGCCUGGAACAUAAACGCUGAAGAAGCGCUUGUGCAAAUAAAUUCACUCCCGGCUCCCCACCCUGCCUGAACUGGGCUACACACAACCCUGCUCUCAACAGGACAGAGGAGAAAGCACUGGGCCAAUGCUGCGGUGGGCUCUGCCCUGGUCCCAGUAUGUGGCCUCUAUCCAGCUGCUCCUCCUUGGACCUCAGUUUCCCCAGCUGAAGAGACCAGGCUGGAACUCCUCCUACAUUCACCAUUCCAACCUGAGAAGCAAAAGGAAUGGAAGCCAAGCCUCUGAAGGCUGAGGUCAGAGAGCACUGUCCGGGAAUGAGCCAUCAUCGGAGGAAGCCGGCCACCAGGCAGGAACUUCCCCCUCUCCGUGACAGGAGGGGUCAGUGAAGACUCGGCCUGUGUCGCAUGUUCCCCAAGCACCAGGAGAGAGAGAAGGACUAGAGACUGAUGUGGGGGGAGUGUCACCUGCAUCCUCCCCACCCUCCCUGGGUCUCCAUUCCACCCGAAUGGCCCCACUCUGCAGAAGGGCCUGUCCCCAAGGCUGGUACAACUCACCCUGGCAGCUGUAUUGAGGGUUCAUGGCUUGAAUGUCAUAGCACCAGUGUGACUCUGGAGCAGAGAGAAGAAGGGAAUAUGAGGCCGAGGAAUGCGAAUUGUGCACACAGGACUCUGAGUGGGAAGGAGACCUCAGAAAGCAUAGGAAGCCAGCAAUGGUGGUGCACACAUCUAAUACCCGCACUUGGGAGCCUGAAGCGGACGAUCAAUCGCCAAGCGUUCAGGGCCAGCCUGAACUACAUAGGGAGACCCUGUCUCAGAAAACAAAAAACAAAAAAACAAGCAUAGGAAUGUUCCCAACCCCCAGGGACUGCUCUAGGGCAUUGUUCUUCAGGGGGUCCCUCUGUGGCCCUUCAGCCCCAUCCCUGGGGCUGCC